GAAAGGAAAAUUCGAUGGAUCUCUGAAAAGGAAUUGACGGUAAAAAGGAUCUAGCCCGGACGGGUGAUCCUAUCCUGAUAUAGCCCUCCCGAAGAAUAUGUGUAAAAUGGAUUUAGCCCAGACGGGUAAUCUGAAUUAGGGUCUGAAUUUAGCCUGGACUGGUAAUUCAGAUCCAAGCUCAUUAGAGUAAUUGUCGUUGCAGGGGAUUUAGCCUGGACUGGUAAUCCCGACAAUACUCUAUGAGUUUAUAUUGCAGGGGAUUUAGCCUGGACUGGUAAUCCCGCUGUAAGGUUGAGGUUCGCGGGAGUGUGCUCUCUGAAAUGGAAAUGUGCGCACAUGAAUAUGAAUUGACGGACCCGGAAUUGUACACUAAAAGUGUACCUCUGAAAAUC
rnacentral:lncRNA from 1 species